GUCUUCUUGACUGGAUAAUAAGAAGUCUGACCUGCCCAGUGAAAAAAUUAUUUAACGGCCGCGGUAUUUUGACCGUGCAAAGGUAGCAUAAUCAUUAGUCUUUUAAUAGAGGGCUGGUAUGAAAGGUUUGACGAGGUGCUGACUGUCUCAUUUAAUUUGAAAUUAAAAUUUAACUUUUCAGUCAAAAGGCUGAAAUAAUAUUGGAAGACGAGAAGACCCUAUAGAGCUUUAUAUUUAAUUUAUUAAUAAUUUUUUGGGUAUUAAUUUUUAUUAUUAAUUUAAGUAUUUUGUUGGGGUGACAAAAAUAUAAAAUUAACUUUUUUAUCUAUUAAACAUUAAUUUAUGAUUAUUAGAUCCAAUCUUAUUGAUUGUUAGAAUAAGUUACCUUAGGGAUAACAGCGUAAUCUUCCUCCAGAGUUCAUAUUUACAGGAAGGCUUGCGACCUCGAUGUUGGAUUAAGAUAAUAAUUAGGUGUAGCCGCUUAAUAUAUAGGUCUGUUCGACCUUUAAAUUCUU
rnacentral:rRNA from 1 species